AGUGGCCCCAGGAAAGGCAAGCCCCAAGCUUGCCCAUUGUGGGCAGAAGGAUCCUCCUCGGAUCAUCACCGCUUCCAGCCAUUGCCCUUGUCCUGUCAUCAGGCAUCGCCAAGAAGAGUCUGGCUCCAUCCUCCUGGCACUCAUUUCUCCUUCUGUCUCAUGGAAAAACAACAGUUGCCCCUUCUGUACACUGCACAAACCGGUGAAGCAAUUGGAGACUCCUUUGAAGUUCCAGCCCUUAACAACAGAGACUUUUCUGCACAUCUUCUGAAUGUAUUUCUGUUGUUCAAUCUCAUUUCCAAAUAAGCCAGUUGUUGGUUUGUGUCACUGAACCUAAUGCUUUCAAUAUGAUGUUCUGUGCUCAUGAAGGAGGGAUGUAUGAAAAAUAAAGACAUCACAUGGCUGAGACAGGUUGCAAUGAGGGAAAACAUUCUGCCAUUGAGGCAAAAUAUCCUGCCAUUAAGGUAAAUCUACUCCUUAUGGAUACUCAAAAUCUGAAGUUUUUGUUGCUUUCAGAAAGUGGAAAUAAACAUUUGUUGAAUUAA